GAUGAACGCUGGCGGCGUGCCUAAUACAUGCAAGUCGAGCGAACAGACGAGGAGCUUGCUCCUCUGACGUUAGCGGCGGACAGGUGAGUAACACGUGGAUAACCUACCUAUAAGACUGGGAUAACUUCGGGAAACCGGAGCUAAUACCGGAUAAUAUAUUGAACCGCAUGGUUCAAUAGUGAAAGACGGUUUUGCUGUCACUUAUAGAUGGAUCCGCGCCGCAUUAGCUAGUUGGUAAGGUAACGGCUUACCAAGGCAACGAUGCGUAGCCGACCUGAGAGGGGGAUCGGCCACACUGGAGCUGAGACACGGUCCAGACUCCUACGGGAGGCAGCAGUAGGGAAUCUUCCGCAAUGGGGGAAAGCUUGACGGAGCAACGCCGCGUGAGUGAUGAAGGUCUUCGGAUCGUAAAACUCUGUUAUUAGGGAAGAACAAAUGUGUAAGUAACUAUGCACGUCUUGACGGUACCUAAUCAGAAAGCCACGGCUAACUACGUG
rnacentral:rRNA from 1 species